CCAAUAGCGUAUAUUAAAGUUGUUGCAGUUAAAAAGCUCGUAGUCGAAUUUCGGGGUUCAUCCGUUGGUCGGGCUUUUUUGGUCUGUACUGGCGUGAUGGAUUCCUACCUUCUGAAUAACCAGCAUGUCAUUAAUUUGGUGCGCUGGGGAAGCAGGACUGUUACCUUGAAAAAAUUAGAGUGCUUAAAGCAGGCUAUCGCCUGAAUACAUUAGCAUGGAAUAAUGAAAUAGGACGGCAUGGUUCUAUUUUGUUGGUUUCUAGGAUCACCGUAAUGAUUAAUAGGUAUAGUUUGGGGCAUUAGUAUUCAAUUGUCAGAGGUGAAAUUCUUGGAUUUAUUGAAGACUAACUUCUGCGAAAGCAUUUGCCAAGGAUGUUUUCAUUAAUCAAGAACGAAAGUUAGGGGAUCGAAGACGAUCAGAUACCGUCGUAGUCUUAACCAUAAACUAUGCCGACUAGGGAUCGGACGAUGUUAAUUUUUUAAUGACUCGUUCGGCGCCUUACG
rnacentral:rRNA from 1 species